AUGGACAGGGGAGGCCCGGCCCCUUUCUCUACGGACAGGAGCAGGCAGGGCUUGGACUGGACCAGGGGAGGCCUGGCGGUGGGGGUGAUGGUGCUCUUCCUCCUCCUCCUCCUCCUCCUCCCGCAUCCCCUUUUUCUCCCUCGGACCCUCUUGGCACUCCGUCCAGGCUUUGCCCUGUUUUGGCAACCUUCCCCCGCCCUGCCGCCCACCAGCGGUGGUGGAGGCCGUCCUCUGCCCACGGCCUCUGAUGCCCCAGAACAUCUUCUCGUGGGUGUGUGGGUGGGGGUGGGAGGGAAAAGGGGGCAGGGCAGGCCUCUGCCUUCUCAGGAGGAGGACAGUAAAGAUGCCCGCCUGGGCUUUCCCACCGGCUCUUGCUGCUGCCCGUCUCGUCCUUUUGCAAGCUGGCGGGUGGGGAGCCUCAGCCCUGGGGCCCGCUCGCACCCGACGGCCAUCCCUGCCUGGCCCACUCGGCUUCCCCAGUCCUGCGUCGUUUCCUCCUCCCAGCUUUUGCAAACCCUCUCAAAGGUCAAGACCUCUCCCUCAGGCUUCCUUCCGGACAGGGAAGAGACCAGAACUGGAAAUGUGCUGGACGUUGGGGGGGGGAGACCAAGGAGGGGGUGGCUGGCUGGCUGGCUCUGCUUCUCCACCAGGCAGGGGUGUUUGCAUGGCAACAAGGAAAGGCAGGCGACCAAAACAGGCUUGCCCGUGCGUGCGCGUGGUCGUCUCCAGAAAAGCCACGGCUGCCUUCUGUGCCUGCCAUCUGUUGGCACUAGCUGCAGAAAUGGCGGGCAAAAGGGAGCCGCCCCUUCCUCUUCGCCCCCCCCCACACACCCACACACCUUGUAUACAACUUUGUCAAGAGGGUGGGGGAAGAGCGUCUUGGAGGUUAAGCCCCCCCCCCCCCCCGCCCCACGCUNNNNNNNNNNNNNNNNCCUGGUUCUGGAAGGAAAUCUGCCUGGCUGCAAAACUGGCUCGUGUUUUCUGCCCCAAGGCCAAGACACUAGUCCUCAUUACUCCAGAAGGGCACUGGAGCAAAGGGGCUCAGCUUGCAUCCGGGCUUUGGAAAGUGCCUUGUUUGGCAUUCCGCCCCCCCCACAGCAUCCCCAUCUCAGCAGCAACCUGGGAGACGCUGAGCAUUGGGGGAGGGGGCCGCCAGCAGGCCUCCCCCCUCGUGGGCAGCCCAGAAUAGGUUUGCCCCACAGGCACCACUUCCCUGGCGUGGAAGGUUGGGUUGUGGGUGGGGGUGCAGCACGAGUCAUGCCUCCCGCCCCGGGGCUGAAAAGCAGGUGCCCCUUUUGGGUGGAGGGGCACAAGGAUGCCCCCCCCACGGAAGAAGCUUGUCCCUAA
rnacentral:lncRNA from 1 species